rnacentral:rRNA from 1 species
UACGUAGGGCGCAAGCGUUGUCCGGAAUUAUUGGGCGUAAAGAGCUCGUAGGUGGUUUGUUACGUCUGCUGUGAAAACCUAGGGCUUAACCCUGGGCCUGCAGUGGAUACGGGCAGACUAGAGGUAGGUAGGGGAGAAUGGAAUUCCCGGUGUAGCGGUGAAAUGCGCAGAUAUCGGGAGGAACACCGGUGGCGAAGGCGGUUCUCUGGGCCUUACCUGACACUGAGGAGCGAAAGCGUGGGAGCAAACAGG